rnacentral:lncRNA from 1 species
AUGUUGGGUGGGGAUUGGGGGCAACUGCUGAGGGAGGGAGGCCCCUAUCAAGCUCUCCCUCUCCCAAAGAAUUGGGUUCAGACAAACUUUUUCCAACAGUGCAAAGCAUGCUUUGUGGCUUCUUUCCCUCGGGACUCUUGCAGGAGAGGUCCAGGCCCAAACGUGGACAGGGGCCGGGGUUGGGGCUGUUCUCUUGUCUUCUUGUGUCAUCUUUUGAACCCAGGGCAGGUGGCAGCCUCAUCCCUAAACCUCCCAUUCACAUUCAGUGAGAACAACACUUGGUUUAAGAAUGUGGAAGGAGGCCUAAGCGAGAGGCCUUUGGGGAGGCCAAGCAUUCCCCCCCCAGAGUCCUGCAGUUUUUGUGUUUUUGGGCCACCCCCUCCGCAGAGUUCCCCAGGCAGCGAGGAACCCCACCUGCCUGCAUCUAGGUCACACCUUCUGCUCUCCACCGCUUGUCUCUGCCAAAGGUGAAAAGGGGUGGGGUGGGGCAGGGUGGGGGGAGGGGGCGUGAGUGGAGGGCAGGCCUCCUCUCUGCACCUGCUCCCGACCUCCUUGACCUCCUGGCUCUUUCUCGGCUGGGUUUGCUGUGGAGUCGCCCUCUCUGUCCUGGUCGGCUGGAGCCAGCGGGCAGGCGGGCUUUUGAGCCUCUGGGCUGCCCAUGAAGUCUUAGGCAGGCAGAGAGGCAGGAUCAGCAGCAGUCAUCAUCAUCCUACAGGUGGGGGCGGGGGCGUUGCUCCUGGUCCAUCAGCCUUGUUUCUAGGGAGAGGCAAGUUGGGUGUUGGCUCUUUGGUGUCAGGCCUGCUGGGAAUGUCCGUGCUUCAGCUUCCUCACACACACCCCAGCCCAGCCCUGGAUGGUCCCGAACUGCCACCUGGCCUGUGCCAUCUUCCUUCCUAUGAGCGGGGGCUUCCCCAGCCCUCCUUGGGAGUCCCAGUCGAUGCCCUGUCCUUCUGGGGCGGGCCUCCCCCUUUGAACCCGAGGCCUUCCUUCUCUGUGGGUGGAUGGCUGUGAUCCCCAGGCUGUCUAGAUUCAGAGACAUAGGAACUAUGUAGAUAUUUAAAGGACUAGAGUUUUAAUAAUAUACUGUACCUAUAUUUAAAGAUGAUCGUGACAUUCUGCACCUUUGUAUAUGUUGGAAGAGUUCAUUGCUGUGUGAUAGCCUGAACUUUAACUUAU